AGCCUUGACUUCUUCAUCCACUUCUUUUGAUUUCAAUACAUGCGAUAAGGUCAUUGCAUCUAAUUUAUUAUUUUUUCACUUCUAGUGCCAAAAUAGAACUGAGAAUCAUUCUAUAUUUUUUCCUUUAAAACAUAUUGAUAACUGAAGCAAUUACAUGUUGUGUAUACAUGUUUGUGUGUAAUAUUAGGGAUAAUAGGUUUUAAAAUUAAUUAUAUUUUGAUGAGUGUGUGUGUCUCACAUUAUUUGUGCAUUUAACAAGGAAUGGGACUGAUACUAUCUACUUCCCAUUUUCAUGCUUGCUGUGGAGAUAUUUGGACCUUCUAUUUGUAAAUUAGUUUAUGAUGAGAAUUAGCUGAUGAUUUGUUCUCUUUGCAGUCUCCGCAUUAAUAGCGAUCAAGAGCAAUUUAGUUGAUCCUAUAAACCAUCUGAAUAAUUAGAAUAAAGGGGAUCCAUGUACAUCCAAAUGGAGAGGAGUUUUAUGCUUUGAUUCGGUCAUGGCUGAUGGUUACUUGCAUGUCCAAGAGCUGUAUGUUGCUUUUCCAGGAUUUCUCACUUUCCUUUAAUAGAAGUCAUUAACUCAUUACCUAUUUGGUUGUUAUAGGAGUUCAAGAUUUGAUGAUAUGGACGUAUUUAAUUUGCUUUCUAUUGUUAGCAUAGUGCCUUAUCACUUUUUAUUACCUCUAACAGAACAAAUGAUCUUUCAUUCCAUAAAGAAUUUCUACCCUGUGUUCUGCUUUUUUUAUACCCCUCUCUUUGCUUGAAUUUAAGUGCUAUUCUAUUGGUUGCGAACUCUAUGCAAUGAUGUUGAUAUCGGUUCAUCUGAAUCAUUCUUGCGUGCUGGUGAACUGCCUACUCUCAUAGUGCAGUCAACGGGGCAUGCUCUGCAUGUGUUCAUAAACGGACAACUUUCAGGUACAUUGCCAAAUAAUUUCAUUUUAGAAGUGUAUCUAGUCACAUGCCGCCCUUUCAAGCUGAUAUGUGCUAAAAUGAUGGAUAUCUGUACCAAUUCAAAAAUGAAAACACUUUCAUCUGCCCCCUUAGUUAUUUUAGCAAUUUUUUUUUUACAAAAAUAUAGUGGUUUAUUUCGAAAAUACAAUUAAAAGGGAUUACAGAAGGGAAAAAUGACCCUAAAUAUGGCCUCGACCGAUCUUAAUAUUGUUUCUUAGGUUACUCUACCAUAUGGAACAAAAAAAAAUAAAUUUUCAGCUUAGAGAGGAUGCUAAGUCCUUAAUUACGUCACACACAGUCACGUAGACUUUUUUGGACCGACCAAUACCCAGCUAUUUGCCAUCCUGAGUAUUUAACAUCCUGAGUAUUUAAUAACUAAUUAAAAAUACUUAUAUGAGAAAUGAUUAACUUUUCAUCCCCAUACUCACUGUUGGUGGUGGGUCUCAUUGUAAGUAGAAAUAAGAAAAUUUUAAAAACAAAAGGACUUGGUGGUUUAGAUGGUGUUGGAACUAAAACUAUGGCCUCUAGCAAGCAUAAGUGUAUGCUCAACAAUUCACUCUAAUCAAGCAUCUCAAAAUUAUAUACGUAUCAAAAGUUUUUGAUGGUUUGAUUAAAUUAAUUUCUCUCUCACACACACACAUACACACAUACAUAUAUAUAGAUGCACUAAUAUAUACUAGAAGAAGAUUGAAAUACAUACAUCUACAAUACGUAUAUCAAUGUUGGGCCGCAUUUGUCUUAUAUAUAUGCAGGGAAACUUGGUACCAAAUGCUACAAUUUUUCCAUCUGGUAUGAAGACUCUAGCAGAUUAUGUCCAUAGCAAAGGGCUCAAGAUUGGGAUUUAUGCUGAUGCGGGGUAACAGAGUUAACUGACAGUUCGAAUUUGACAAAUUAUAGAUCAUCAAAGAUAACGACAUUGACUUGUGACAAAAGGAUGCCUGGAUCACUUGGCUAUGAGGAACAUGAUGCCAACACCUUUGCUUCAUGGGCUUAUUUCAAUGCACCUGACGGAGACGAGCCUCUGGCUUUGGACAUGGGGAGUAUGGGAAAAGGUCAAGUAUGGAUUAAUGGUCAGAGCAUUGGAAGAUAUUGGACAGCGUUCGCAACUGGUAAUUGCAAUGGACAUGGGGAGUAUGGGAAAAGGUCUCUUUGCUUGAUCAAGCACAAGGCUGAUGCUUGGUGAAAAGAACAUGCUUGGUGAAAAGAACGAUCAAACACAAGGCUGAUGCUUCAAAACCAUAUAUAUUCCUUCCAGUUUUAGUUUUUUUUUGGAUUCCUUCAUUGAUUUUCCUUUUAAUUUUUGUUCAAUUACUUAUUGGUUUUCAAUGGAUGGAUGUUUAAAACUUA